UGUAUGAUUCUCUGCAGAUGAACAAUCUAAUUCUGCAGAAUUACUUUCCUUGGAAACAGAAGAUGUAGCGAAAAGACAUCAAAGAAAUAUUCGAGAUCAUCCACUAUUCUUCAGAAUCACAUUGGGGCUGUUGGCUGAGAUAAAAAAUUCAAGGCUCUUCACUACAGUCUGGGAUUCUUUAGGACUAACAUAUGAUGUAUCCUUUGAGCUAAGCCUGUUUGAUAGGUUGAAACUCGGGUGGUAUGUGGUCUCAGUAACUUCAACUCCUGGCAAGGUCUAUAAAGUUGUUGAUGCAUGUAAGAAUGUUCUGAGAGGUUUACAUGACAGCAAGAUUGCCCAAAUGGAGCUGGAUCGGGUUAGUAUUUUCCCUUUGUUCACCUCACCUUAUCCCAAUUUUCUUGCAAUACUACGACAAUCUUUUGUUUAAGGGGCC